rnacentral:rRNA from 1 species
GACAAUGGGGNGCAAGCCUGAUCCAGCCCAUAUCCGCGUUGGGUGAAGAAGGCCUUCGGGGUUUGUAAAGCCCUUUUGUUGGGAAAGAAAUCCAGCUGGCUAAUACCCGGUUGGGAUGACGGUACCCAAAGAAUAAGCACCGGCUAACUUCGUGCCAGCAGCCGCGGUAAUACGAAGGGUGCAAGCGUUACUCGGAAUUANUGGGCGUAAAGCGUGCGUAGGUGGUUGUUUAAGUCUGCUGUGAAAGCCCUGGGCUCAACCUGGGAAUUGCAGUGGAUACUGGGCGACUAGAGUGUGGUAGAGGGUAGUGGAAUUCCCGGUGUAGCAGUGAAAUGCGUAGAGAUCGGGAGGAACAUCCAUGGCGAAGGCAGCUACCUGGACCAACACUGACACUGAGGCACGAAAGCGUGGGGAGCAAACAGGAUUAGAUACCCUGGUAGUCCACGCCCUAAACGAUGCGAACUGGAUGUUGGGUGCAAUUUGGCACGCAGUAUCGAAGCUAACGCGUUAAGUUCAAGGNCUGGGGAGUNCGGUCGC